GACGAACGCUGGCGGCGUGCUUAACACAUGCAAGUCGAACGGAAAGACCGUGCUUUGGUGGGGUGGUCGAGUGGCGAACGGGUGAGUAACACGUGGGUAACCUGCCCUUGAGUGUGGGAUAACUUCAGGAAACUGGGGCUAAUACCGGAUAGGAGCUCCUGCUGCAUGGUGGGGGUUGGAAAGAUUCGGCGGUUGGGGAUGGACUCGCGGCUUAUGAGCUUGUUGGUGGGGUAGUGGAGGAGCAAGGCUUUGCCGGGUAGCCGGCCUGAGAGGGUGACAGGCCCCAUCGGGCUUGAGAUGCGACCCAGACCACACCGGGAGGCAGCAGUGGAGAAUGUAGCACUAUGCGCGGAGCCCAAGUGCAGCACCGCCGUGUCCGGGAUGUCGGCCUUCGGUUAGUAAUCCGCUUUCGCCUGUGACGAAACGAUAGUGACGGUACUGGGUAAAGAAGCACCGGCUAACUACGUG
rnacentral:rRNA from 1 species